CAAGGCACCGACUCUCGAUUGACUUGUCUCCAAAUUUUGUAAUCUAACCCUUAUGAUGUCCGACUACAUGAGGAUAGCUGGGGCCAUUGUCUUGCCCAACCUUGGGGGAUUUGCAUCGAGCAUGGUCCAGAAACCUGAUAAGAUGGCAUGGUAUGACACUCUGAAGAAACCCUGGUGGACCCCACCUAAGAAGGCCUUUGCACCUGUCUGGAUAUCCCUCUACGCAGCCAUGGGAUAUUCUUCGUACCUCGUCUGGAAAGAUGGAGGUGGUUUUGAAGGCGAUGCCUUGGUCCCACUUUGUAGCUAUGGAGCAUCGCUCGCCCUCAACUGGAUUUGGACUCCAGUAUUCUUUGGAAUGCACAAGAUGGGAUUGUCUGUAGCCAUCAUCCUAGCUUACUCUGGCCUGAGCUGUGUGAAUGUAGCCUUGUUCUACCCCAUCAAUCGGACUGCAUCCAUGCUCCUCGUACCCCUCCUUGGCUGGCUCUCCAUCGCAUCUAGCGUCAACAUCUACACUUGGCUAAACAACAGAGAAACCAAGACGGAAUAAUAUCAGUUAUUAUCUAGUGUAAUGUAAACAUAUACAUUUUUGUGUGAUGAAUCUGUGUGUAAUAAAGAGGGUGUGUUCACAUCAGACUGGCUUUUCCUGGGGCUGGUUGCAUGAAAUGGUCUUUUCAAGGACUCUUUUGGGUUGAUUUAUUGUGAUGCGCCAUAUAAAAUGCCUUUUUAACAAAUUAUUUGCCAACAUUUGUUUAUUUUCCAUGAAAAUUAAUGAAUCCAUUGUUAAUAAAUAUUUUAUAAUAUGAAUAUGGAUUUCAAAAGUUUGGGAAAUAAAAUUUAUAUUUGGCAAUAAAUUUACAAAUUGCGUCAUAUGGUACAUCAAAAUAAAUGGGUGACACAAAAGACCUUCCUUUUGAAGACCCUUUUGUGCAAUCAGCCUGGAAGGUAUAUUAAAUUAAAAAUCAAAUUUGUACGAGGUCUUGGGCUGUAUGUUUCACAAGAUGCUAAGAAUAUCACAUUUAUGCCAUGUACAGUUAAUCCCUUUUAGCACUGCCAGAUACUUGAUUGAUUAUACAUUCAACUGGACAGAUUAUCCUUUUACAUAAUAAUCUCAACUUUCUCAAGCAUACAUAUAUCUUCCAUGAUAUUUUGAUUGACAGUUUCUAUUCAAAGUGUUUAUAUCCAUCAAUCAUUUCACUAAAAAUGGGAUUUUUUUCUUAGCUAAGAUGCAUGUCCAUUGCCUCCUGAAGUGAAUACAUGUAUGCAUUGUCCGCUACUGCAUGUAUGCCCCCUUAAAUGAAAUAUUCAUGAAAGCAGAAGGUUGACUGGAUUUCAUACUUAAUGCCCGAGGUACAAAUAAUAUUGCUACAUGAACUUCUCCAUGUUAACCGAAAAGUACCAUUUACAUGUGUUUAAAGGUAUUUGAUGAAGUACUGUGUGAAAUUGCUUUUAAUAGUAUACUGUAUAUAUCUUGAAUGUAACAACAUAUGAGUGUUGUUAGAAAGUUUUAAAUAUCUAUCUGAAGUAAAUGCAGUGCAAUUC
rnacentral:misc_RNA from 1 species